CCAAUAGCGUAUAUUAAAGUUGCUGCAGUUAAAAAGCUCGUAGUUGAAUUUCGGGACUAAUAUGUCGGUCGUGCCUCGGUACGUACUGGCUUAUUGGUUUCUCCUUUCUGAAGAACCAUGAUGUCAUUUAUUUGGUGUCGUGGGGAAUCAGGACUGUUACUUUGAAAAAAUUAGAGUGUUUAAAGCAGGCUCACGCUUGAAUACAUUAGCAUGGAAUAAUGAAAUAGGACGUUUGAUUCUACUUUGUUGGUUUCUAGGAUCGACGUAAUGAUUAAUAGGGAUAGUUGGGAGCAUUAGUAUUCAAUUGUCAGAGGUGAAAUUCUUGGAUUUAUUGAAGACUAACUACUGCGAAAGCAUUUGCCAAGGAUGUUUUCAUUAAUCAAGAACGAAAGUGAGGGGAUCGAAGACGAUCAGAUACCGUCGUAGUCUUAACCAUAAACUAUGCCGACUAGGGAUCGGAUGAUGUUAAUUUUUUAAUGACUCAUUCGGCGCCUUACG
rnacentral:rRNA from 1 species